GACGAACCGUGCGAACGUUGUUCGGAAUCACUGGGCUUAAAGGGCGCGUAGGCGGCUUGCCAAGUCGCGGGUGAAAUCUUUCGGCUUAACCGGAAAAGUGCCCGCGAUACUGGCCGGCUCGAGCGAGGUAGGGGCAGGGGGAACUUCCGGUGGAGCGGUGAAAUGCGUUGAUAUCGGAAGGAACGCCGGUGGCGAAAGCGCCCUGCUGGACCUCACCUGACGCUGAGGCGCGAAAGCCAGGGGAGCAAACGGG
rnacentral:rRNA from 1 species